rnacentral:rRNA from 1 species
AACGUAGGCGGCUAGCGUUAUCCGGAUUUACUGGGCGUAAAGCGCGCGUAGGUGGCUCCGUAAGUCGGGCGUGAAAUCUCCCGGCUCAACUGGGAGGGGUCGUCCGAUACUGCGGAGCUUGAGGGCAGGAGAGGGAGGUGGAAUUCCCGGUGUAGUGGUAAAAUGCGUAGAUAUCGGGAGGAACACCAGUGGCGAAGGCGGCCUCCUGGCCUGCCCCUGACGCUGAGGAGCGAAAGCGUGGGGAGCGAACGGG